rnacentral:rRNA from 1 species
UAGGGAAUCUUCGGCAAUGGACGAAAGUCUGACCGAGCAACGCCGCGUGAGUGAAGAAGGUUUUCGGAUCGUAAAACUCUGUUGUUAGAGAAGAACAAGGACGUUAGUAACUGAACGUCCCCUGACGGUAUCUAACCAGAAAGCCACGGCUAACUACGUGCCAGCAGCCGCGGUAAUACGUAGGUGGCAAGCGUUGUCCGGAUUUAUUGGGCGUAAAGCGAGCGCAGGCGGUUUCUUAAGUCUGAUGUGAAAGCCCCCGGCUCAACCGGGGAGGGUCAUUGGUAACUGGGAGACUUGAGUGCAGAAGAGGAGAGUGUAAUUCCAUGGGUAGCGAUGAAAUGCGUAGAUAUAUGGAGGAACACGAGUGGCGAAGGCGGCUGUCUGGUCUGUAACUGACGCUGAGGCUCGAAAGCGUGGGGAGCAAACAGG